GAUGAACGCUGGCGGCGUGCUUAACACAUGCAAGUCGAACGAAGCGCUUAAGCUGAUUUCUUCGGAUUGAUUCUUGAGUGACUGAGUGGCGGACGGGUGAGUAACGCGUAUGUAAUCUGCCUGUAACAGAGGGAUAACCCGGAGAAAUCCGGACUAAUACCUCAUAAUACACAGGAUUCGCAUGAGUUCUAUGUUAAAGGGAAUCGGUUACAGAUGAACAUGCGUUCCAUUAGUUGGUUGGCGGGUAACGGCCCACCAAGGCUACGAUGGAUAGGGGUUCUGAGAGGAAGGUCCCCCACACUGGUACUGAGACACGGACCAG
rnacentral:rRNA from 1 species